UACAGAGGGUGCGAGCGUUAAUCGGAAUUACUGGGCGUAAAGCGCACGUAGGUGGCGACGUAAGUCGGGUGUGAAAGCCCCGGGCUCAACCUGGGAAUUGCAUUCGAGACUGCAUUGCUGGAGUCCGGUAGAGGGGGGCAGAAUUCCCGGUGUAGCGGUGAAAUGCGUAGAUAUCGGGAGGAACAUCGGUGGCGAAGGCGGCCCUCUGGACCAGGACUGACGCUCAGGUGCGAAAGCGUGGGGAGCAAACAGG
rnacentral:rRNA from 1 species